CAGACCUGCUGGGGGCAGAUGUAAUGGACGUGGGUGUCCAUGCCCGCGGCGGUGAGGAUCAGAUGCUCGCCCGAGAUGGCGUCGGUCGCCGUGCCGGUGGCCAGACCCGGCGUCACGCCGUCCAUGGUGCUCGGGUUGCCGGCCUUGCCGACGCCCACGAUCUUGCCAUCGCGGAUGCCGACGUCGGCCUUGAUGACGCCGAGAUAGGGGUCGAGCACCGUCACGUUGGUGAUGACCAUAUCCAGGCAGCCGGCCGCCUGGGUGAGCUGGUUGUCCGACCCCAUGCCG
rnacentral:sRNA from 1 species